rnacentral:tRNA from 1 species
GAACUCUGUAGCUCAGUAUGGAUAGAGCGCCACGCCGCUUUCAAGGUGGUUGCAAACACCAAGAAUAUAAUUUCGCGAUAAAGGCUAUAAGGGGUCAGUCGUAGGUUCAAAUCCUGCCAGAGUUCA